rnacentral:lncRNA from 1 species
GAUGAAAUACACAUAGGAUUGGCCAGAACUGGUAGAGGGCUGGCUGUUGAUCAUGAAAAUGUCAGUCCUGAUAUAGUCCUCCUUGGAAAGGCCCUUUCUGGGGGCUGAUACUCUGUCUGCGAUGCUGUGGGACGAUGACAUAAUGCUGACCAUUAAGCCAGGGGAACGUGGGUCCACAUACGGUGGCAAUCCACUAGGCUGCUGAGUGACCAUCACAGCCCUUGAGGUUUUAGAAGAAGAAAACCUUGCUGAAAAUGCAGAAAAAAAAUGGGUAUUAUCUUGAGAAAUGAACCCAUGAAGCUACCUUCUGAUGUUGUAACUGCCGUAAGAGGAAAAAGAAUUAUUAAAUGCUAUUGUUAUUCAAGACAACAAAGAUUGUGAUGCUUGGAAGGUGUGUCUGCGACUUCGAGAUUAUGGAUUUCUGGCCGAGCCAAUCCAUGGUGACAUCAUCAGUUUUUGCCUCUGCUGGUGGUCAAGGAGGAUGAGAUUAGAGAGCCCAGUGAAAUCAAUAACAAGACCAUCUUGUUGUU